UACGUAGGUGGCUUGGUAAGUCGAAUGUGGAAGCCCUGGGCUUAACCUGGGAACUGCAUCCGAAACUGCCUGGCUGGAGUAAGGGAGAGGGAAGUGGAAUUUCCGGUGUAGCGGUGAAAUGCGUAGAUAUCGGAAGGAACACCAGUGGCGAAGGCGACUUCCUGGCCCAUUACUGACACUGAGGUACGAAAGCGUGGGGAGCAAACA
rnacentral:rRNA from 1 species